rnacentral:rRNA from 1 species
GAGUUUGAUUAUGGCUCAGAUUGAACGCUGGCGGCAGGCUUAACACAUGCAAGUCGAACGAUGAUUACUAGCUUGCUAGUAUGAUUAGUGGCGAACGGGUGAGUAAUGCUUAGGAAUCUGCCUAUUAGUGGGGGACAACAUUCCGAAAGGAAUGCUAAUACCGCAUACGUCCUACGGGAGAAAGCAGGGGAUCUUUUGACCUUGCGCUAAUAGAUGAGCCUAAGUCGGAUUAGCUAGUUGGUGGGGUAAAGGCCUACCAAGGCGACGAUCUGUAGCUGGUCUGAGAGGAUGAUCAGCCACACUGGGACUGAGACACGGCCCAGACUCCUACGGGAGGCAGCAGUGGGGAAUAUUGGACAAUGGGCGAAAGCCUGAUCCAGCCAUGCCGCGUGUGUGAAGAAGGCCUUUUGGUUGUAAAGCACUUUAAGUGGGGAGGAAAAGCUAAUAAUUAAUACCUAUUAGCCCUGACCNUACCCACA